rnacentral:misc_RNA from 1 species
GCGUACUUAAAGAUCCGGCAAGACCGGAUUGACAAGAUGGGCUUUAGAAGUUAAAAUACUAAAAGUGUCCGUCUUGACGGGUACUCCAGGCUCCGGUCCCACGCAAUGGAAAUCCAUGAACCGUGUCAGGUCGGGAACGAAGCAGCACUAAGUGGAACCUUCCAUGUGACGUGGGGGCUCCGGGGUCUGGAGUUCUCUUUGAGACGGACAUUUUUUAUAC